UACGGGGGGUGCGAGCGUUGUCCGGAAUCACUGGGCGUAAAGGGCGCGUAGGUGGUUUGAUAAGGGUGUGGUGAAAGUCCGGGGCUCAACUCCGGAUCUGCCGUGCCGACUGUCAAACUCGAGGGCUGUAGAGGCAGACGGAAUUCCGGGUGUAGCGGUGGAAUGCGUAGAGAUCCGGAGGAAGACCGGUGGCGAAGGCGGUCUGCUGGGCAGUUUCUGACACUGAGGCGCGACAGCGUGGAGAGCAAACAGG
rnacentral:rRNA from 1 species